rnacentral:rRNA from 1 species
GACGAACGCUGGCGGCGUGCUUAACACAUGCAAGUCGAACGGAAAGGCCCUGCUCUUGUGGGGUGCUCGUGUGGCGAACGGGUGAGUAACACGUGAGUAACCUGCCCCUGACUUUGGGAUAACUUCUGGAAACUGGGGCUAAUAUCGGAUAGGAGCUCUUGCGGCACGGGGGGGGUUGGAAAGUUUCGGUGGUUGGGGAUGGUCUCGCGGCUUACCAGCUUGUUGGGGGGGUAGUGGCUUUCCAAGGCUUUGACGGGUAGCCGGCCUGGGAGGGUGGCCGGCCACAAUGGGACUGAGGGACGGCGCAGACUCCUACGGGAGGCAACGGUGGGAAAUAUUGCACAAUAGGCGGAAGCCUGAUGCAGCAACGCCGCGUGCGGAAUGCCGGCCUUCGGGUUGUAAACCACUUUCGCCUGAAACGAAGCGUGAGUGACGGUAAUGGAUAAAGAAGCACCGGCUAACUACGUG